rnacentral:rRNA from 1 species
CAAUAGCGUAUAUUAAAGUUGUUGCAGUUAAAAAGCUCGUAGUUGGAUUUCUGGUGGGAGCGAUCGGUCUGGCGCUUAGCGCGAGUACUUGCAUCGUCUCCGGCCAUCCUUGGGGAGAGUCUGUCUGGCAUUAAGUUGUCGGGCAGAGGAUCCUCAUCGUUUACUGUGACAAAAUUAGAGUGUUCAAAGCAGGCUUAUGCCGUUGAAUAUAUUAGCAUGGAAUAAUAAGAUAGGACUUUGGUACUAUUUUGUUGGUUUGCGCACCAAAGUAAUGAUUAAUAGGGACAGUUGGGGGUAUUCGUAUUCCGUUGUCAGAGGUGAAAUUCUUGGAUUUACGGAAGACGAACUACUGCGAAAGCAUUUACCAAGGAUGUUUUCAUUAA